CCCUGGCCUAGCUCAGCUUACAACAUCAAACAACAGCAACAUCAGCAAUAUGACCAACACAAUCCUAAAAAUCCUCUCUUCACGUGAAAUUCAACCAAACACACUUCAAUCACGAAAAGUCCAUCGAAAAUUUUGACUUCUGCAGAGCCCAUAAUCUUUGAAAAGGUAAACUUUGGUGCUCAUUUUCCUUCUUCCUCUUUUUUUUGUUUGAUUUGAAUUUUUAGUUUUGUGAUACUUGAAGAAGUCGUUACAACCCUUUUUCCACUAAAAGGGGAGUCUUCUUCACAAUAAAAGGGUGAAGAGAGAUCAAUUUGUCAGGGGCCUGCUAUUUUUUCCUUUUUUAUUUGAAGUUCGAGUCUUUGAGUUGAAGCCCUAGUUCGUUUCUCCACACAAGGCUUCUCCAGUGUGGGAAAUUGUGACUUCAUCACUUAUUGGAAGGUGCAAUUUGUCCAAGUGUCUUGGAACCAGGCUGGGAACAAGUGUCUAUGGGCAGACACAUGAUGUGUAGCUCCUGAAUCUACAAUCCAACUGUCAGAACAAGCCUCGGUUAAAAAAACAAAUGUUGUGCAGAAUUCACAUCAUGACUGGAACUGGCAGCAUCACCUGGUCCUACUACCAUGCUUACAGAAGACUUUCUACCAGUGCUAAUAUAGUUGUUACCCCUAUUAUGUGGUGAGAAAUUGUUACCACCAGCAUUAUGUGACCUGAAAUUUGGAGGAGUAUAACCUUGUUUUUGUUGCAGUUAUCUUCUUGUAUCCUAGUUUUAGUAGAACUCUAUUUUGUAUUUAUUCUUUUACUUAUCAGUUAGAUAGAUAUAUGUUGUAAUUCCACUUUAUAAAUACAAAAAUAUAGAAUGAGCAAGGCUCACACUUUAACCCUUCACUUUAUCUAUUUCGUCUUGGUAUCAAAGCCUUAAACGAUCCUUUCCAUGGCUUCAGAAAUUUCCUCAUCUCAGACCACCACUACCUCUGCUCAAACUGCCAUAAGUCAAUCUUCUCUUGGCCUUCCAAAUCCCCCUCCAACAGUUUCCAAUAUCAAAGGUUUUGUUCCUAUUGAAUUGACAUACGUCAACUACCUUACUUGGAAGAAAGUUUUUCUCACCGUCCUUAAAAGUCACAAUCUUCUUUCCUUAGUAAAUGGAACCUUACCAUGUCCACCACUAGAACAUGCUGAUUUCAGGCUAUGGAUUCAGUGUCAUCCUAUUGCAUUAAGUUU